UGCCUACGGGGGGCUGCAGUGGGGAAUUUUGGACAAUGGGGGCAACCCUGAUCCAGCAAUGCCGCGUGUGUGAAGAAGGCCUUCGGGUUGUAAAGCACUUUUGGCGGGAAAGAAACGGCGCUUGCUAAUACCAGGCGCUAAUGACGGUACCCGCAGAAUAAGCACCGGCUAACUACGUGCCAGCAGCCGCGGUAAUACGUAGGGUGCGAGCGUUAAUCGGAAUUACUGGGCGUAAAGCGUGCGCAGGCGGUUCUGUAAGACGGAUGUGAAAUCCCCGGGCGUAACCUGGGAACUGCAUUCGUGACUGCAGGGCUAGAGUGUGUCAGAGGGAGGUGGAAUUCCGCGUGUAGCAGUGAAAUGCGUAGAGAUGCGGAGGAACACCGAUGGCGAAGGCAGCCUCCUGGGAUAACACUGACGCUCAUGCACGAAAGCGUGGGGAGCAAACAGGAUUAGAUACCCGGGUAGUCCUG
rnacentral:rRNA from 1 species